UACGGGAGGCAGCAGUGGGGAAUAUUGCACAAUGGGCGAAAGCCUGAUGCAGCUAUGCCGCGUGUAUGAAGAAGGCCUUAGGGUUGUAAAGUACUUUCAUCGGGGAGGAAAAAACAAAACUAAUAAUUUUAUUUCUUGACGUUACCCGAAAAAGAAGCACCGGCUAACUCCGUGCCAGCAGCCGCGGUAAUACGGAGGGUGCUAGCGUUAAUCAGAAUUACUGGGCGUAAAGAGCACGUAGGUGGUUUUUUUAAAGUCAGAUGUGAAAUCCCUGGGCUUAACCUAGGAACUGCAUUUUGAAACUGAAAUACUAGAGUAUCGUAGAGGGAGGUAGAAUUCUAGGUGUAGCGGUGAAAUGCGUAGAUAUCUGGAGGAAUACCUGUGGCGAAAGCGGCCUCCUAAACGAAUACUGACACUGAGGUGCGAAAGCUGGGGAGCAAACAGGGAUUAGAUACC
rnacentral:rRNA from 1 species